rnacentral:rRNA from 1 species
UACGUAGGGACCAAGCGUUGUUCGGAUUUACUGGGCGUAAAGGGCUCGUAGGCGGUCUGUCACGUCGGGAGUGAAAACUCAGGGCUUAACCCUGAGCCUGCUUCCGAUACGGGCAGACUAGAGGUAUGCAGGGGAGAACGGAAUUCCUGGUGUAGCGGUGAAAUGCGCAGAUAUCAGGAGGAACACCGAUGGCGAAGGCAGGUCUCUGGGCCACUACUGACGCUGAGAAGCGAAAGCAUGGGGAGCGAACAGG